UAAUACAGAGGGCGCGAGCGUUAAUCGGAAUCACUGGGCUUAAAGCGUGCGUAGGCGGAUGUGCAGGCAUGUUGUGAAAUCCCAUGGCUCAACCAUGGAAUUGCUUCGUGAACCGCACAUCUUGAGGCAGGUAGGGGCGGUCGGAACGAUAGGUGGAGCGGUGAAAUGCGUAGAUAUCUAUCGGAACGCCAAAGGAGAAGUCAGGCCGCUGGGCCUGUCCUGACGCUGAGGCACGAAAGCGUGGGUAGCAAACGGGAUUAGAUACCCCGGUAGUCCACGCCCUAAACGAUGCGCACUAGAUCGAGGAGAGUGACAUCCCCUUGGUCGAAGCAAAAGUGUUAAGUGCGCCGCCUGGGGAGUACGGUCGCAAGGCUA
rnacentral:rRNA from 1 species